rfam:Microgenomates (Levybacteria) bacterium GW2011_GWA2_37_36 TS48_C0034, whole genome shotgun sequence.
UGCCGAGUCGUCUAAUGGUAGGACGCGACCCUCUGGAGGUCGUUAUUGGGGUCCGAAUCCCUACUCGGCAG